rnacentral:snoRNA from 2 species
AGCGAAGUGGUCAUCAGAGACUUAAAUACUAAGAAUCACAUCAUGGAUCAUAUUGUUGCAGUUAUAUCUCUCAUCAUU